rnacentral:rRNA from 1 species
UUCCACGUUUUCGGCGACGCAGCUAACGCAUUAAGCGUCCCGCCUGGGGAGUACGAUCGCAAGAUUAAAACUCAAAGGAAUUGACGGGGCCCCGCACAAGCAGCGGAGCAUGCGGCUUAAUUCGACGCAACGCGAAGAACCUUACCAAGGCUUGACAUAUAGGGAAAAGCAGCAGAGAUGUUGUGUCCGCAAGGGCCCUAUACAGGUGGUGCAUGGUUGUCGUCAGCUCGUGUCGUGAGAUGUUGGGUUAAGUCCCGCAACGAGCGCAACCCUCAUUCUGUGUUGCCAGCAUUUAGUUGGGGACUCACAGGAGACUGCCGUGGUUAACACGGAGGAAGGUGGGGAUGACGUCAAAUCAUCAUGCCCCUUAUGUCUUGGGCUGCACGCAUGCUACAAUGGCUGGUACAAACGGCUGCAAUACCGCAAGGUUGAGCGAAUCCGAAAAAGCCAGUCUCAGUUCGGAUUGGGGUCUGCAACUCGACCCCAUGAAGUCGGAGUUGCUAGUAAUCGUAGAUCAGCAACGCUACGGUGAAUACGUUCCCGGGGCUUGUACACACCGCCCGUCACGUCACGA